UGAGAAGUUAUGGAAUUUUAGUGAAAGCAGUAGCUCAAUACGAGAAGCACCACAUCGCGGUGACUCCAAGAAUGGCACUCGACAGUUUCCAGUGACUCAUCAUAAUAGUACUGCAUUGCAGUGAAGUUUUGGUUCCUAAUUGGCAUUUUCCAAUGAAGCAUCGUGAUAAGCAUCGCAUCGCGGAGGAGUGCCUGUUCUUACUCGUCAAUUUCCAGAGACGCAAUGCUAUCCCACCGCAUCACAUCAAAGUGUAGUUUUGUACUUGUCUGUGGGAUACACAUACUGUCAAAAAUUCAGUGGCAGCAAUGGCUAAAAUUAGGAUUUUCA
rnacentral:lncRNA from 1 species